UACGUAGGGUGCGAGCGUUUGUCCGGAAUUAUUGGGCGUAAAGAGCUCGUAGGCGGUGUGUCACGUCGGCCGUGAAAACCUGCAGCUUAACUGUGGGCGUGCGGUCGAUACGGGCAUCACUGGAGUUCGGCAGGGGAGACUGGAAUUCCUGGUGUAGCGGUGAAAUGCGCAGAUAUCAGGAGGAACACCGGUGGCGAAGGCGGGGUCUCUGGGCCGAUACUGACGCUGAGGAGCGAAAGCGUGGGGAGCAAACAGG
rnacentral:rRNA from 1 species